rnacentral:rRNA from 1 species
UAGGUUUUCGGACCUAGAGACCGGCGCACGGGUGCGUAACGCGUAUGCAAUCUACCUUUUACAGAGGGAUAGCCCAGAGAAAUUUGGAUUAAUACCUCAUAGUAUUAUGACUCGGCAUCGAGAUAUAAUUAAAGUCACAACGGUAAAAGAUGAGCAUGCGUCCCAUUAGCUAGUUGGUAAGGUAACGGCUUACCAAGGCAACGAUGGGUAGGGGUCCUGAGAGGGAGAUCCCCCACACUGGUACUGAGACACGGACCAGACUCCUACGGGAGGCAGCAGUGAGGAAUAUUGGACAAUGGGCGCAAGCCUGAACCAGCCAUGCCGCGUGCAGGAUGAAGCAUCUAUGGU